CCUACGGGUGGCAGCAGUGGGGAAUAUUGCACAAUGGGGGAAACCCUGAUGCAGCGACGCCGCGUGAGUGAAGAAGUAGUUCGUUAUGUAAAGCUCUAUCAGCAGGGAAGAAACAGACGGUACCUGAGUAAGAAGCCGCGGCUAACGACGUGACAGAAGCCGCCGUUAGACGGAGGGGGCCAGCGUUAUCCUGAUUUACUGGGUGUAAAGGGAGCGUAGGCGGCGAAGUAAGUCUGAAGUGAAAGCCCUCGGCGUAACCGCGGAAGUGCUGUGGAAACUUGCUUGCUUGAGUACCGGAGAGGUAAGCGGAAUGCGUAGUGUAGCGGUGAAAUGCUUAGAUAUUAGGAAGAACACCGAUGGCGAAGGCAGCUUACUGGAGGGUAACUGACGUUGAGGCUCGAAAGCGUGGGGAGCAAACAGGAUUAGAUACCCGGGUAGUC
rnacentral:rRNA from 1 species